UUCCGGUUGAUCCUGCCGGACCUGACUGCUAUCGGAUUGAUACUAAGCCAUGCGAGUCAUUGUAGCAAUACAAGGCAUACGGCUCAGUAACGCGUAGUCAACCUAACCUAUGGACGGGAAUAACCUCGGGAAACUGAGAAUAAUGCCCGAUAGAACAUUAUGCCUGGAAUGGUUUAUGUUCCAAAUGAUUUAUCGCCGUAGGAUGGGACUGCGGCCUAUCAGUUUGUUGGUGAGGUAAUGGCCCACCAAGACUAUUACAGGUACGGGCUCUGAGAGGAGUAGCCCGGAGAUGGGUACUGAGACACGGACCCAGGCCCUAUGGGGCGCAGCAGGCGAGAAAACUUUGCAAUGUGCGAAAGCACGACAAGGUUAAUCCGAGUGGUUUCUGCUAAAGAAACCUUUUGUCAGUCCUAGAAACACUGAUGAAUAAGGGGUGGGCAAGUUCUGGUGUCAGCCGCCGCGGUAAAACCAGCACCUCAAGUGGUCAGGAUGAUUAUUGGGCCUAAAGCAUCCGUAACCCGCUCUGUAAGUUUUCGGUUAAAUCUUGUACGCUCAA
rnacentral:rRNA from 1 species